CUACUCCAUUCAAACCAAAGAAAGAGGGCAACAAUCCUACACAUCAAUAUUGCUAUAGGCCUACAUAUUAUCCUCCUAUCGGAAAUCUCGGAGGCGGUUUCUUCAACUAUGAACCAGAACAAGGAUAUGAAGCAAUGUUCUUCAACUUUGAACUAGAAUAAGUGAUUUCUUAAAGCCCUGAGUGGGUCAAAACCGACCCAAUAACAACUCUUGGCUUAAUCGAGGAGUGGCUUGAAUCUGUGAAUUCCAAUUCAUGAUAGGCGCUGCCCAGUAGAGACCUCACAAGGCAAUCCACGGAAGGCUAACAGUUUACAUUCGACCUAAAAGCUAAGUACUUCAAACUUUUUGCUUUACUUGAUCACCUAUUGUGCUAUUUUUAUUAUGACAAGUAAGGCUAUUAUUACUAAGUUAAGCAAAACUGAGAAGCUACAUGGCACUAAUUUUUCCACUUGGAAAAGAAGGAUUAGACAUAUUCUUGCCCAAGAUGAUCUAGAUUAUUUACUAGAUACUGUUGUACCUGCAAAUCCUGUUGAAAAUGCUUCUCUUGUUGAGAUUAGAAAAUAUGCUAAGUAUGAGAAAGACAAUAAGCUUGCUCAUUCUACUAUUUUGACUUUUAUGGAACCUGAUGUUGAAAUGUUAUUUGAAGAACAUAAACACACCAAAACAAUAUUUGAUGUUGUUACCGAGACAUAUGGAAAAGUAACAUAAUCUUAUAUAUAACUUCUCAUUGAAAAAUUCUAUGGUUCUGAAAUAAAGGAGGAAGAUUCCAUUACUGAUAGUGGUUACAAAAUGACUGUUAUUGCUAAAAAUUAGUUGUUGUUGGUAACCCUAUACCUAACAAAAUUUAGGCUUCUACUAUUUUGCAUAGUUUACCUAAAUCAUGGGAACAAAUAGUAAUUUCACUCAAUUUGUCUAGUACAACUAUCACUAUGCAAAAUUUACCCAUAUUACUUGUUGUUGAAGCUGAGAGAAGUAAUAAAAAGAAAACCCAUAUGCUUUAGUAACUAGUCCUACUCCUGAACCGUCUAAAUUGGGUGAAUAACCUAAACCCAAGUUCCAAAAGGGAAAGGGUAAAUGGUUCAAAAAGAAUAACUUUAACAAAAAGAAGAAAAUAACUUGUUAUAAUUGUGGAACUCUAGAUCAUUCCAAAUACCACUGUCCUCAAAAGAAACAAAAGCCUAGUACUAAUACUAAAGACAUUUUGUGUGGUUUCAGAGUUGUUCAUUAUUGAUUCUGAUUUGAGCUCGUGGUGGGUUGACUCCAAAUCAUCUCAACAUAUUGCAAGAUCAAAAGAAUUCUUCAUUGACUUGAGAGAAAUGCAACCUGGUCGAUACGAGCUUUUCAUGGGAAACAACUCUUAUUAUGGUGUCUUAGGAGUAGGAACUAUAAAAAUCCCUAUUAAAGAUGGAAUCAAUUUCAUUUUGUUAGACACUUUGUACUCUUAGGAAUAACCUAAUUUUUGUACCUUGACUUGAUGAAAAGGAAUUUGAAGUCCAUUUUAGGAGUGGGAAGGAAUCCAUAACAUGGGAGAAUUCUGUUAUGGGGAAUGAGAGAAGAUGGUUUGUACCGACUUUCUAUUAAUAAUGAGAUUUCUAAUGCUUCUGCUUA